UACGUAGGGGCCAAGCGUUGUCCGGAUUUAUUGGGCGUAAAGAGCUCGUAGGCGGUUCGGCAAGUCAGCUGUGAAAUCUCCACGCUCAACGUGGAGGGGUCAGCUGAUACUGCUGUGACUUGAGUCCGGUAGGGGAGUGUGGAAUUCCCGGUGUAGCGGUGAAAUGCGCAGAUAUCGGGAAGAACACCCGUGGCGAAGGCGGUUCCCUGGGACGGUACUGACGCUGAGACGCGAAAGCGUGGGGAGCGAACAGG
rnacentral:rRNA from 1 species